UGUGCUUGGCAUUGAAAGCGCGACAAGCGAGCAGUCAACAACGCAACAUCCCCAGCAGUAAAAUAGCCAAAAACAAAAAACAAAUUCAGCCAAAUAAAAUAGCCAAAAUAUACAACAGAGAAAUCAGUGUGUUCGCAGGAGCAUAAAAAAAAAAAACGAAUUGCAAUUUUAUAUUAUAGUAAUCAAAAUAAUAAAUGACAUCAACAAUAAGAACAACGCAAUCAAAUUGAAAUUGAAAUUAAAAUUGACAAAACCCGAAAAGCGACCAUAAAACUUAAAAGCAAACAAUAACAAUGCAAAAAUAAUUACAAAUUAAUUGUGCAACAACAACAAUAAUAUAAUUUGAGAAGUGCUCGUCAGAAGUGCGCAGCACAAACAAUCGAAAUACAACAACAAUAACAAAAAGAUUGUGCCAACAACAAUAAUGAAUUCCAAUUGUACCUAAAACAUACACACACACACAUCGAAUAAGUGCAAUUCUUUUGUGUAUUCCCCAAUUUACGGAAGUAACAAAUAAGCUAUGAAAAUUUACAACAACAUCAACAAAAAAAGAAUUUCAAAAGAAAAUGCAAAAUGCAAUUUGUGAAAAAUCUCAACGAAAUAAUUAGAGAGAGAAAAAAAAUCAAGUACAUAAGUGAAAAUGCAAAAAUGAAGGAAAAUUAUUGCAAAUUGCAUCAUCAUCAUCAGCGGAAUCGGAAAACAGCUUAAGGAUGACACGAUAAAUAAGUGUGGCCGAAGCACAGCAGCGUCAGCAUGGAAAUUUAAUUAGCGACAGUCGAGUGAGCCAGCAACGACAACAACAACAAUAAGAACGAUAGCAAACACACACGCCUACAAAAAAGGCCUGUGAUAUAAAAGUAAACACAAAGCAAAAAAGCGAACAUAAAAAAAAAAACAAAAUCAUGCGAGUCGAAGAGGAAGAGGAACAAAAAAAUUUGCCCACUUUCAGUGGCUUUGCCUUAUUCACAUGACGACAGCAAAAAAGGCAGCGAAUAGAGCCGACAAAAUGCCAAGCAGCAGCAACAACAACAACAAUGCAAUUGCACCCAAUGCACCCCUCCCACCGACCGUUGCAUCUGUGUGUGCGAGCGAGUGGACAAACAAAAAUGGCGCAUGACAUGCGCACUGAGCGAACGACUUGAACUUGAAAAAUUUUUAUUGUUGCGCUAGUCUCGGUCGCCUGCUGCUGCUGCUGUUCCAUUUAACUUGACAGCACGCAGCGACGUCCGCAGCGGCAGCAACAGCAGCAACAGCAGCAGCAGCACAACGAAGCCGGCAAACCAACACCACAGAGAGAGAGCGAGAGAGUGACAGCCCAAGAGAAAGAGUUGUUGGGGAAAGAGCGAGCUGCUGUGUCCAAGCUUUAGUCUGCUAGCAGCAGGUAUUAUGGUAUGUAUGUAUGUAGAGUUAAAGAGAGUGGAGAGGUAAAUAAGCGAUUAUGCAAAGGAAAACAAAAAUGAAAACGAAAUGAGCGCGCUCGCGAGAAAGCUUUUUGGCACACAUAGCUUUUGCGUGGGCGACUUAAGGCGACGUCAGCGUCAACGUCGCUGUCGCUGUCUCUGUCGACGUCUGCCAACUGUUUGCUUUUGUUGUACACUUGAUAUGCCAGCUGCCCCGAAACUUUCUCUUUCAUGGCCCACCCGCCCCACGUGCUUUUCUUGUUGCUGCGUAUGUAUGUAUAUAUAUGUGUGUGUAUAUGCUGUUGCAUAUUUACUGGGAUACGAUGACGCGCACCUGUGCGCACACCACACACACGCACACAGCUGCUGCAGCCAGCCAACACACACACAGGAUGCUGCUGCUACGCUAGGCUGCUUCCUAGCUGCGAUUUGCGAUGGUUGGUUUCCUUGUUGCCUGAACAGCGUCAAGUUGUUCAGUGUUGAGCGCACUCCCGGCGAGGUCAGGCCUCUUAAUAAACCAGCAUUGCCACAUAAUUGCUUUUGCACUCAGUGUGUGUGUGUGUGUGUAAAGCUAACAUAUGAGUGAUUUAAUUAAGUGACAGAAAUUAACUAAAGUACCACAAAAAAAAAAAAAUAAAACAGCUGAUUAAAUCGCAAUGUGUGGAAGUUGUGGAUUGUGUGUGUGUGUGUGUGUGUGUGUGUGUGGAUGGUAUCAUGUGACAACUUCGAGUGACGUACGUUGCCAACAUAUGGCUAACAAAAACUUUCAAUAAUGAAUAUAGUGCACACACACACACAUAGGCAAAUUGCUGCGCCUUAGCAUAUGCAACACAUUUUUUGACUUGUUUUUAUUACGCUUGUGACCUUUCGAUAGACAACACACACACACAUACACAUGCAAACACAAAUAUGUACGUACGCAACAAAAAGCACAAAGAGAUGCGAUGCGUAAGCAAGAGUCAAGUUAUUUAUAUAUAUAUGUGUGUAUAUAAAAUACAUACCCACAACAUAUAGAAUACCAAGUCAAAGGGCAACUGGCAAAGGGCAAAUAUAAUAGAGAUGCAAAUAUUUGAAUAUUGCAUAAAUUAAUCUUGAAUUUAAAUUGCUUGUGAAAUACGCGAAUUGUAAGUGAAACGAAAUGAAAUGAAAAAAAAGUGCAAUGCGAGAGAGAAACGAAAUCCAAGUGCAACGUGACGACUGCAAUUCAACAACAAUAACAACAACAGCAAAACGCAACACAAAUUAUAUUGUAUGUAUAAGGUUGUCAAAAAAGUCUUGCGGUAUUUGUAUUGAAUAUUCAAUUGUUCAUAAAAUUGUUUAAAAUAAUGCGAUUUAAGUCAAAUGUGCGGAAAUACCGCAAGACUUUUUGGACCACCUUUUAUGUAGCAGAAGCAUUGCCAGCUGGUUCGUGUCUACGCUAAGCUUUCGCUGAAAGCUCUCUCUUUCUGUGCCAUUGACACUGGGAUACACCCUGUGCUCGCUUUGAAAUUUGUGCAAACAAGUGAACACAGCUGGUGGUAUCCAGUGGCCGUUGGCAUCUAAGCAGCAUAAGAAACAACAACAACGACAACGAAGAGAACACAGGGUGAGUAGUGUUUAUUUUAUAAUUGAAAUGACUUAAUUUAUUUUGCAAGUCCAAUUUUCAAUUUAAUUUUGUUAUCUCGUAUGAUUUGAACCUUUUCUUUCAAAUAUCAUUUGAACCAUACUAAAUAUUUAUUAUUCUAGCCAUAAGCUUUGUUUAACAAUUUUUCAUUUAUCUACCCAAAAAUAAAAAAAAAAGAACGUUAAUUGAAAUCUUAAAAUUGUAGCCAAAAUUGUUACAGAAAAAUUGCGAAAAUAAUUUUAAGUAAGAAAAAAUAAGAAAACCAAAAAUAAUGGCAAAAAAGCAAAAUCAGUGAAAAAUACAAAAAUUGCAUAUAAAUUAUAUUCAGCAUUUACUUGUUAAAUUACACAUUUUAUCUAUUACUCUUAUUAUUAUUAUCCAUUA